UACGUAGGGGGCUAGCGUUGUCCGGAUUUAUUGGGCGUAAAGAGCUCGUAGGCGGUCUGUCGCGUCGAUCGUGAAAACUUGGGGCUUAACCCUGAGCUUGCGGUCGAUACGGGCAUGACUGGAGUUCGGCAGGGGAGACUGGAAUUCCUGGUGUAGCGGUGGAAUGCGCAGAUAUCAGGAGGAACACCGGUGGCGAAGGCGGGUCUCUGGGCAGUAACUGACGCUGAGGAGCGAAAGCGUGGGGAGCGAACAGG
rnacentral:rRNA from 1 species